rnacentral:rRNA from 2 species
GCUGGCGGCGUGCCUAAUACAUGCAAGUCGAGCGAAUCGACGGGAGCUUGCUCCCUGAGAUUAGCGGCGGACGGGUGAGUAACACGUGGGCAACCUGCCUAUAAGACUGGGAUAACUUCGGGAAACCGGAGCUAAUACCGGAUACGUUCUUUUCUCGCAUGAGAGAAGAUGGAAAGACGGUUUACGCUGUCACUUAUAGAUGGGCCCGCGGCGCAUUAGCUAGUUGGUGAGGUAAUGGCUCACCAAGGCGACGAUGCGUAGCCGACCUGAGAGGGUGAUCGGCCACACUGGGACUGAGACACGGCCCAGACUCCUACGGGAGGCAGCAGUAGGGAAUCUUCCGCAAUGGACGAAAGUCUGACGGAGCAACGCCGCGUGAACGAAGAAGGCCUUCGGGUCGUAAAGUUCUGUUGUUAGGGAAGAACAAGUACCAGAGUAACUGCUGGUACCUUGACGGUACCUAACCAGAAAGCCACGGCUAACUACGUGCCAGCAGCCGCGGUAAUACGUAGGUGGCAAGCGUUGUCCGGAAUUAUUGGGCGUAAAGCGCGCGCAGGUGGUUCCUUAAGUCUGAUGUGAAAGCCCACGGCUCAACCGUGGAGGGUCAUUGGAAACUGGGGAACUUGAGUGCAGAAGAGGAAAGUGGAAUUCCAAGUGUAGCGGUGAAAUGCGUA